GAACCCACGUGGCAAGAAAAGUGGAUAUUUGGAAAAGGUUGAGCAGCUGACAGUCAACUGUGUAUUCGAAAUAUACAACAUACGUUUUAGAAAAUGACACGUAAAAGAAAAAGUAACGACUGCUAUUCAGAUAGACAUGAACGUCGAC
rnacentral:lncRNA from 1 species